rnacentral:tRNA from 1 species
UGUCCUAUGGUGUAAAGGUAGCACAUCUGGUUUUGGUCCAGACGGUCUAGGUUCGAAUCCUUGUAGGACAA